rnacentral:rRNA from 1 species
CGGCGUCGAGCGGCGGACGGGUGAGUAAUGCCUAGGAAAUUGCCUUGAUGUGGGGGAUAACCAUUGGAAACGAUGGCUAAUACCGCAUAAUGCUACGGGCCAAAGAGGGGGACCUUCGGGCCUCUCGCGUCAAGAUAUGCCUAGGUGGGAUUAGCUAGUUGGUGAGGUAAUGGCUCACCAAGGCGACGAUCCCUAGCUGGUCUGAGAGGAUGAUCAGCCACACUGGAACUGAGACACGGUCCAGACUCCUACGGGAGGCAGCAGUGGGGAAUAUUGCACAAUGGGCGAAAGCCUGAUGCAGCCAUGCCGCGUGUAUGAAGAAGGCCUUCGGGUUGUAAAGUACUUUCAGUUGUGAGGAAGGGGGUGUCGUUAAUAGCGGCAUCUCUUGACGUUAGCAACAGAAGAAGCACCGGCUAACUCCGUGCCAGCAGCCGCGGUAAUACGGAGGGUGCGAGCGUUAAUCGGAAUUACUGGGCGUAAAGCGCAUGCAGGUGGUUCAUUAAGUCAGAUGUGAAAGCCCGGGGCUCAACCUCGGAACUGCAUUUGAAACUGGUGAACUAGAGUACUGUAGAGGGGGGUAGAAUUUCAGGUGUAGCGGUGAAAUGCGUAGAGAUCUGAAGGAAUACCAGUGGCGAAGGCGGCCCCCUGGACAGAUACUGACACUCAGAUGCGAAAGCGUGGGGAGCAAACAGGAUUAGAUACCCUG